GUAUGUAUGUAGUGACUGGACCAUGAUACUUGGGAUUAGUUGCAGAUUACACUAGCUGGACCAGUGGCAUAAUAAUUAUGCAUUCAAUUGAUUGAUAUGAUCUAAUUCAUUCACUCGCUCUCAACCCCUCUCGAUCUCUUCCCCUCGUAUUACAUUACACACACACACCCAGAAUAACUAUGUUUCAGACUGAUUUUUGGUGCAGCAUAGCUUCCCAGACAUACAAAUCUUGUUGUCAUUCUAUGGACUUUAACUAUACCUAAUUUAAUCCAAAGUUAGCAAUUCUUACGGUUGUAGAAAUUUAAAUUUUGUGAAAAAUGUCUGAAAUAAUAUUAGCAUUUUUUGGAGUACUACUAGCAGUUGCGACGUAUUUCCUUCCAAACUAUAUUUUUAAGAGAAAGCCACAAGUGAAAAUUGAAGAAAUAUCGAGAGAAAGUACGCCUGAGAGAGAAACUCGAUCAAGAAAUAGGAGAAAAUGAGCCAAAGAUGCAAAUCCAGGACUUUUGAGUAUUACGUACUUUCACCAAUAAAUCAUCAAUAGUUUAACGAAUAGAAUAGCUGUACCCCAGCAUUUAUUUAUUUAUUUAUUAUAUUUCGUUUUCAACACACACAAUUAUAAUCAUCAUUAGAAAAGUAAGCAUAACAAAUAAUUCAUGUCUUGUUGUACAUGAUGAAAAUUCUGUAUUUGGUUAUUUUUUGAUUUGUAAAUUUUUUUUGCAAAAGCUAAGAUUAGAUUAUUAAAUGUUUUUUAUAUAGAUUUCCUUUGUACAAAAUAAACCUUUUUGUUUGAUUAAAAUUAAAUAUUUGUAUACUUAUAAGAUUGAGUAAGUUGAGUUUGACGAGACAAUUAUUGAGUUGUUUGUUGGGCAAAAAAUGAGACCAAGGAAAAUACAUAUCAUUUCAUAGAUUAUAAGAACUUAAGCUAAUUAAUUAAUGAAAAUUACUGAGUUUUAAUUAGUUUAACAAUAUCAUAGAAUAUUUGUUUUACAAUUAUUAAACCUUACAAAAUUAAGAGACAACAAGUUAAAUAUUUUUAUUAUGACUCAACAUUUCCAUUUAAGUAAACAAUCAAGCGAACAGUUGAAAGAGAUGAUUACUUAAUAACAAACUGAAUAAGUUGUACAUAGUUUAAAUAUUUUGUAGUACACACGACAUGAUUAAAUAAAUAUUAACAUUAAUUAAAUAC